UACGUAGGGUGCGAGCGUUGUCCGGAAUUAUUGGGCGUAAAGAGCUCGUAGGCGGUCUGUCGCGUCGGAUGUGAAAACACGGGGCCCAACCCCGUGCCUGCAUUCGAUACGGGCAGACUAGAGUUCGGUAGGGGAGACUGGAAUUCCUGGUGUAGCGGUGAAAUGCGCAGAUAUCAGGAGGAACACCGGUGGCGAAGGCGGGUCUCUGGGCCGAUACUGACGCUGAGGAGCGAAAGCGUGGGGAGCGAACAGG
rnacentral:rRNA from 1 species